rnacentral:rRNA from 1 species
ACAGAAGAGCUUGCUCUUUGGGUGGCGAGUGGCGGACGGGUGAGUAAUGUCUGGGAAACUGCCCGAUGGAGGGGGAUAACUACUGGAAACGGUAGCUAAUACCGCAUAACGUCGCAAGACCAAAGUGGGGGACCUUCGGGCCUCACACCAUCGGAUGUGCCCAGAUGGGAUUAGCUAGUAGGUGGGGUAAUGGCCCACCUAGGCGACGAUCCCUAGCUGGUCUGAGAGGAUGACCAGCCACACUGGAACUGAGACACGGUCCAGACUCCUACGGGAGGCAGCAGUGGGGAAUAUUGCACAAUGGGCGCAAGCCUGAUGCAGCCAUGCCGCGUGUAUGAAGAAGGCCUUCGGGUUGUAAAGUACUUUCAGCGGGGAGGAAGGCGGUGAGGUUAAUAACCUCGCCGAUUGACGUUACCCGCAGAAGAAGCACCGGCUAACUCCGUGCCAGCAGCCGCGGUAAUACGGAGGGUGCAAGCGUUAAUCGGAAUUACUGGGCGUAAAGCGCACGCAGGCGGUCUGUUAAGUCAGAUGCGAAAUCCCCGGGCUUAACCUGGGAACUGCAUUUGAAACUGGCAGGCUUGAGUCUCGUAGGGGGGGGUAGAAUUCCAGGUGUAGCGGUGAAAUGCGUAGAGAUCUCGAGGAAUACCGGUGGCGAAGGCGGCCCCCUGGACGAAGACUGACGCUCAGGUGCGAAAGCGUGGGGAGCGAACAGGAUUAGAUACCCUGGUAGUCCACGCCGUAAACGAUGUCGACUUGGAGGUUGUGCCCUUGAGGCGUGGCUUCCGGAGCU